UACGGAGGGGCUAGCGUUGUCCGAAGUUACUGGGCGUAAAGCGCGCGUAGGCGGGUUGGUAAGUCCGCUGUGAAAGCCCGGAGCUCAACUCCGGAGGGUCGGUGGAUACUGCCAGUCUUGAAGGUGCUAGGGGGAGAUGGAAUUACCGGUGUAGCGGUGAAAUGCGUAGAUAUCGGUAGGAACACCAGUGGCGAAGGCGGUCUCCUGGGGCAUUCUUGACGCUGAGGCGCGAAAGCUGGGGGAGCGAACGGG
rnacentral:rRNA from 1 species